CAGAUGCUGUCAAACGCUUGAUACCUUCGGCACCACUUCUUUAGCGCUAGCUUCUGGACAAAAUCCACAAACAGCCUGUGUCCCUUGGCCUGACUGCUGGCCUCUAGUCUUUCCCAAAUGGAUCCUCUGAAAGGAGGUAGCUAAGACAUGUGAGUGACAAGCAUAUCUCAGCCACUUCUGGGAUGGAGUACAGACACAGCCACUCGUAAUUACUUAAGACCAGGAAUGAAAAAGAACACAGUGAAACUACCCAGGAAGUGAAGGACUGGCAUUUCUCAAAUUGUUAUUUACUCU